rnacentral:rRNA from 1 species
AUGGACUACCAGCCCAUUAUCUCUGCCCUUGACGUCCGAACUGAUACAGUUUCUGUCGACGAUCUCUUCGCGAUGGUGUCCAACUUUGAUCAGCGCGUGGAGAUGUUCCACGGCACCGGGGCUGGCUCCUUCAAAUCCUCUGCUAACGCGGCCUCUCGGGGUCGUGGCGGCGGCGGUCGCUAUUCUCCCAAGAAC